rnacentral:rRNA from 1 species
AUUGAACGCUGGCGGAAUGCUUUACACAUGCAAGUCGAACGGCAGCACGGACUUCGGUCUGGUGGCGAGUGGCGAACGGGUGAGUAAUGUAUCGGAACGUGCCCAGUCGUGGGGGAUAACGUAGUGAAAAUUACGCUAAUACCGCAUACGAUCUAUGGAUGAAAGCGGGGGAUCGAAAGACCUCGCGCGAUUGGAGCGGCCGAGAUCAGUUUAGGUAGUUGGUGGGGUAAAGGCCCACCAAGCCAACGAUCUGUAGCUGGUCUGAGAGGACGACCAGCCACACUGGAACUGAGACACGGUCCAGACUCCUACGGGAGGCAGCAGUGGGGAAUUUUGGACAAUGGGCGAAAGCCUGAUCCAGCCAUUCCGCGUGCAGGAUGAAGGCCCUCGGGUUGUAAACUGCUUUUGUACAGAACGAAAAGGCUUCUACUAAUACUAGGAGCUCAUGACGGUACUGUAAGAAUAAGCACCGGCUAACUACGUGCCAGCAGCCGCAGUAA